rnacentral:rRNA from 1 species
GAGGUUGGGUGUAGAUGAUAAGCCAGUGGCGAACGGGUGAGUAAUGAAUAGAACGUACUCUUUGCGGAGCAUAGCCCACCGAAAGGUGGGGUAAUACUCCAUAAUACCGUAAGGUUAAAGACGCAAGUCACGAAGAGAGCGGCGUAUAUGCUACCAGCUAGUUGGUGGGGUAACGGCCUACCAAGGCGAUGACGGCUAACGGCUCUUAGCGGAGAGUCCGUUACAAUGGGACUGAGACACAGCCCAUACACCUACGGGUGGCAGCAGUUAGGAAUUUUUCGCAAUGGACGCAAGUCUGACGAAGCGACACCGCGUGAGGGAUGACGGCCUUCGGGUUGUAAACCUCUUUUGUUUCUCCAUGAAGGAGUUACGAAUAAGCCACUACUAACUACGUGCCAGCAGUCGCGGUAAUACGUAGGUUGCAAGCGUAACCCGGUUAUAUUGGGCGUAAAGAGUCUGUAGGCGGACUCCCAAGUCCUAUUUCAAAGACCCCGGCUCAACCGGGGGA